UACAGGGGGUGCAAACGUUGCUCGGAAUUACUGGGCGUAAAGCGCACGUAGGCGGCCUUGUAAGUUAGAGGUGAAAGCCCGGAGCUCAACUCCGGAGCUGCCUUUAAGACUGCAUCGCUUGAAUCCAGGAGAGGUGAGUGGAAUUCCGAGUGUAGAGGUGAAAUUCGUAGAUAUUCGGAAGAACACCAGUGGCGAAGGCGGCUCACUGGACUGGUAUUGACGCUGAGGUGCGAAAGCGUGGGGAGCAAACAGG
rnacentral:rRNA from 1 species